AUUGAACGCUAGCGGGAUGCUUUACACAUGCAAGUCGAACGAGUGGCGGACGGGUGAGUAAUAUAUGGGCACGUGACCAGUAGAGGGGGAUAACUACUCGUAAGAGAUGCCAAAACCGCCAUCUAUUGGCGCGGCCGAUAUCGGAUGAGCGAGUUGGAGGGGUAAAGGCUCACCAGGGCAACGAUCCGUAGCUGGUUUGAGAGGACGAACAGCCACACUGGGACUGAGAAACGGCCCAGACUCCUACGGGAGUCAGCAGUGGGGAAUUUUGGACAAUGGGGGAAACCCUGAUCCAGCCAUCCCGCGUGUUGGAGAAGGCUUUCGGGUUGUAAAGUACUUUUGGCAGGAAAGCGGUAUCUGCAGAAUAAGCACCGGCUAACUACGUGCCAGCAGCCGCGGUAAUAC
rnacentral:rRNA from 1 species